rnacentral:miRNA from 1 species
ACCCCAUAUACAGUCAACCCCGCAUAAUCGGACAAGUUUGGCUUGGUCCCGAUGUGGUCCGAUUAAGCGGG